UAAAUCUGGAGAUAAUUUCAGAGGUCUGAGAGAGAAUGCCUGAACAGUUACAGGCCAAACUGAACCAUGAUAAUAACUGGCUUGCAGCAAGAAGAGAAUCAGUUUGAGGAAGAUUUUUUAAAAAUGGUUAAACUGGAUCUGAUGGAAUUUGGCGCCUGUCAGUGAGACUGUACCCUAAAGAUUUCUGAGCAGGGCCCAACAUUUCUAAAAAAUAUGACUCAAAUGACACCUUUGUUUUUACAGAGGUGAGCAGGACGUCAUGGAGAUUGGAACUGAUAGAGCUAGGAAAGAUUAAUCAGUACUUCACUUCUAAGUAUACACAGGGG